AGACCAUACACCAGACGGGCAAAGAAAUUUUGCUGGGAAAGCAAAAGAAAAAAAAAAGCAGGUUUAGUUCCCAAAGCUAGAAAUUGUGGUUCUCCUGCCUCGUUGUCUUGGUGUUCCCAGGAUGGAAGGACAGCGCUGCCUCUUUGCUUUUCACCCCAGGACAGAUUAAACCAGAAGCUGGCCAUGUUUGUUUAACCUCAAGCUUUGCUGAACUGGCAUGCCUGAACAGCCCUCAGCACUGCCAGAGCCGCAGAUGCUAAGGUAACAGGAGAAGAGCAGAAAGCUGCAGCCUGUUGCUAAGACAAGGCAGCUUCCAAGUCCUGACCAUGACCACAACAGGCACCCCACGUGGAAGAGAAACUCCAAUGAAAGAGAACAUGGCUUUAUGUCUCUUAGUGGAAAUAUUUGCAAAAGCCAAGCACAGCACCAGUACUAAACAUGGACCCAUGAAAGAAGAACAUGGGCUUGGGAUGGAGCUACAGGUCCUGCUGCAUUGGCCCCCGUCUGAUCUUCAGAAUUUCUGCUUUGUGCCCAGCCAACAAGGUACAGAAGCAGUCAAGCAGGAGGACAAGUUCUCAGGAUCUGCCUAUCAUCUUUCCCUGCCUGGAAGGAAGCACAUCUCCCGGAUGAUCAGAAGUGUCCAGAAAUCACAAUGGGAGGUUAAAAUGUAUAGAUUUUGUGCAUCAAAGCCUAAAUGAGGUCCUCUAAGGGAACUUUGGAGGCAGAUUGAGAGACAGCAGAGGGAGCAUCACAAUAGCUCCCAUGUGGGAUCACUUCUUGCAGAAGAAUCCAGAGACUUCAGUUACUCUCAGGACCCUAUUGUGUUAAGCAACACACAUGCCUACAGUAAGCACGCUUACAUUGUUUCAGUACAUUUUCCACACUAGCAACAGAUUUUUGUAAAGGUCAUCGGAAGCAAGCUAG
rnacentral:lncRNA from 1 species